CUAUGUUUUAUAUGGAUAAUUAAAUGAUGUAUGACAUGGAAAUUAUCCAGCUGUACUGAAACUUAACAAACUAACUGCCCUGAUGCAACAAUCAAGCAUCUCAUCGUUUAUAAAAUGAAAUAGGUUUAAAGCAAAAACCAUGUAGAGAAAAGAAUGCCAGACAUUGUAAAGUAGCAUGUUCAAAGGACCAUUUUUGAACAUUAAGCAAGUGUACUCACAUUAAGCAAGUGUACUACAUUUUCAAAAGAAUUCCUGGCACCAAAAUGCUCUCUGUUUGCUUUUUCACCAUGUUAAAGAAUGGAUCACUCUUAGGGGGAAGAAAAUCCUGUGUGCAAACCACUGCAUGAAACUAAGCAAUCCUUAAAACGUGGCUAAUUUCCAUGUGGAGCUGAUGAUUUAGCACUGGCUUCCUUCAGCAAAAGAGAAAGAUCUGCCUGUCUUUAGUUUACUUCUGUAAGAUGAAAAAGGUGAAGAGUGUGAAUUUGAUCUUGCUUCAAUUGACUUCAGUGGCCAAACACUUGCCAUGACUUCAGUGGGAGUGAGACUGCAUCUUAAUUCCUUCAAUGUGGAGAAAACCAAAUCAGCUGAGAAUAAUGCUCUUGUUUAUUGGAUUUAAAUUACUACCAUAGUUGUUUUUAACAGUGCUAAGCAAAUCCUGUUUUAAAAGCCACAGGUUCCUUCAGUCAUGCUUAUUCCUAUGUAUUGUGUCACAAUGUAGGGUUCCGGGUCCUCUGACCAAGUCACAAGUGUUCACAGCAAGCAAGGCUUGCUCUGGGGCAUGGCCACAUUCCCACAUGGGAAUGAUGUAUGUUUGUGGAUGUCACUGGUGACAACAUCCAAAUGUGGGCUGAGGCAUCCCCCUCAGCCAAUAAACCAGGGUGCACACUUUUGUAAAAUGAAUGCAUUCACUGAGAACAAAGACUAUACUAACUAGGAUGUCCAUGAAACGCAGCAAAAAGUCAAUCAGCCCUCUGGUUUGGCUGUUCUCUACUCUUCCUUAUAAAGUAGAACUUCGAGAACUGCUCAGAAAAUAUGUAUGUUUGGAACAGACCCCAGGGAUGAGUUACUGGAACCAUGCUCCCGACUUGCCCAGGCUGAUUGGCCUUGUAACACUGAACAUGAAGCAACACAACAUCUUUGGCUGCUGAAUCUGCUUUGCAAAGCUCCCCAAGAUCAGUAAAUAAAAGCUAGAAGAAUAAUGUGAUCUCUGCAUUGAAGAAGAUAAAUAAUGAAGUCCAGGCACAAAUAAUAAUGAAAUCAUCAGGAAUAUUUGGAUCAAGCAGGCAGACAUCAGGAGGUAUUGGCAUCCUCUCAGAUCUACCUCCCUGAAAGCUCUUAUGCACUCAUGAUGACAGCAGUGACUUGCUGACCCUCUGGGGCACCAGACCAGCAGAUGCAGAGAUGUGAGUAACAACAAUCAAGAAAUCUGCACAUCUGCCAAGUGGUUUGCUUUGUUAGUGCUCUGCCAUGGGCUCUGUGCAGGCACCCAGCACAAUAAACUGGUGGUAUGAGCUGGACAUCUUCAUGAGAAGUGGAAGCCAUCAAAACAGCACUAAGUGGAUGAUGGAUAUUCAGGUUUUAGACUGGUGUU